rnacentral:rRNA from 1 species
UACGUAGGGUGCAAGCGUUGUCCGGAAUUAUUGGGCGUAAAGAGCUUGUAGGCGGUUUGUCGCGUCUGCUGUGAAAUUUCGGGGCUCAACCCCGAACUUGCAGUGGGUACGGGCAGACUAGAGUGUGGUAGGGGAGACUAGAAUUCCUGGUGUAGCGGUGAAAUGCGCAGAUAUCAGGAGGAACACCGGUGGCGAAGGCGGGUCUCUGGGCAGUAACUGACGCUGAGGAGCGAAAGCGUGGGGAGCGAACAGG